AUUGAACGCUGGCGGCAGGCCUAACACAUGCAAGUCGAACGAGUGGCGGACGGGUGAGUAAUGUCUGGGCAACUGCCUGAUGAAGGGGGAUAACUACUGGAAACGGUAGCUAAUACCGCAUACCAUCGGAUGUGCCCAGAUGGGAUUAGCUAGUAGGUGGGGUAACGGCUCACCUAGGCGACGAUCCCUAGCUGGUCUGAGAGGAUGACCGGCCACACUGGAACUGGGACACGGGCAAGAACCUUAGGGGAGGAGGCAGUGGGGAAGAUUGGACAAGGGGCGCAAGCCGAAUGCAGCCAGGCCGCGUGUAUGAAGAAGGCCUCCGGGUUGUAAAGUACUUUCAGCGGGGAGGCGUUACCCGCAGAAGAAGCACCGGCUAACUCCGUGCCAGCAGCCGCGGUAAUUC
rnacentral:rRNA from 1 species